CAGAAAGGAUUAGGGCAGGUUUGUUAGGAAUCACCUGCACUUAUCAAUGGUGACAUUUGUCCCAUUCGUUUUUCUUCUUUCUCGUAGCAUACCAGGUUACCAGGUCAGCCGUUGGAAGUCGAAGAACGGCGAGGCGAGGCGGUUGGCCAUACGCCAGAACCAGUCGUACGCAAAUGUACACGGAACUAAUUGUACGCCAACUUCGGCGUCCGACCAAAGGACAAAAUAUCUCGUCUGUCAAGUUUUCCACUUACAAAUUCCUAACUCCUUUGGAUAAAUUGUGGAUAGAUGUUAAUAUUUGUUCAACUUGUAAAUUAUUAAUUAAAGUUUCAUAUUGAUGAAGGUGAUAAAUUCAUCGAAACUCUACUAAGGAACUAAGUGUUUUCUUCCAAAUAUUUACGCCUUGUUUAUUGAAUCAAAAAGAAAAUAAAUAGUACAGUGUUAACACAAAACGACACGGCACCGUUUAAAAUCGGCCCACCUGACGAUUCAGACCUGCGAUUUUAUGACAACGCAAUUUAAAAUCUAUUUUCAACAGGUUUUUUUCACAGCCAGGACAAAUUAGAGACAAAACACACAGAUAAUCUUAGAUGUUUACGCCACUGUACAUUUGUAAAUAGAUCGUACUCUUAAUCCCACAAGUAGUUGUUUUCCUUUGAUCCCCUCCGCUUACGCGAGCCAAUCUCACCUCUCAUGGAAUUCUCUUACGAUCCACUCCUCCUAUUCUCUCUAGCCCUUUUCGAUAUUUAAAGUUGUGCCAGUGAUUUAAUGGUUUUCUGGUUCAACCCGAAAUUAAUAUUCCCAAGAAAAUUAGCCGAAGCUGUACACCGGAGACUACGACGGACUCGGGCCCGAAGUUGCGUCGCCGCUGUGAAUUCGACAAGUUUCAGCAAGCAGCAUACAAGUUUGGAAACGUCUCUUUGCUAGGAGUUGGCCCAUUCUUCACGAAGAGUCCUUUCAAGAUCGUGGAGUGUAUCAGGAAGUGAUGGACUUGGUCAUUCGUCUUUUGAGAAAAUCAAGCUAGACCUCCUAAUUUAUGGAAUGUAAUCAGUCAGAUAUUACUAUGCAAGACAGCAGCACCAGGCUUGAAACAGGUGGAGAUUUGCCGCAUUUCAAAGACUCUCAGGAACUGUGGAAACUUUUGAAUGAAAUGCGGGAAUAUAUUUCGACCAUAGUAGAGUUUCGAACGGGUUUUUUCAACACAUCCUGCUGUAUCCACAGGCACAACUACCUUUGAUAAGAAGUAUCAAGUUUUUUUUAAGCUGUUAUGUACAUUUUCUCGUAGUAUGAUUGCAAAAACUAUCGUUCAAACUU